GACGAACGCUGGCGGCGUGCUUAACACAUGCAAGUCGAACGGAAAGGCCCUGCUUUUGUGGGGUGCUCGAGUGGCGAACGGGUGAGUAACACGUGAGUAACCUGCCCCUGACUUUGGGAUAACUUCAGGCAACUGGGGCUAAUACCGGAUAGGAGCUCCUGCUGCAUGGUGGGGGUUGGAAAGUUUCGGCGGUUGGGGAUGGACUCGCGGCUUAUCAGCUUGUUGGUGGGGUAGUGGCUUACCAAGGCUUUGACGGGUAGCCGGCCUGAGAGGGUGACCGGCCACAUUGGGACUGAGAUACGGCCCAGACUCCUACGGGAGGCAGCAGUGGGGAAUAGUGCACAAUGGGCGGAAGCCUGAUGCAGCAACGCCGCGUGCGGGAUGACGGCCUUCGGGUUGUAAACCGCUUUCGCCUGUGACGAAGCGUGAGUGACGGUAAUGGGUAAAGAAGCACCGGCUAACUACGUG
rnacentral:rRNA from 1 species